GGGCACGACACCGGAGAGGGAGCCUGAGAAACGGCUACCANAUCCAAGGAUGGCAGCAGGCGCGCAAAUUACCCAAUCCCGACACGGGGAGGUAGUGACAAUAAAUAACAAUACGGGGUUCUUUCGGAUCUCGUAAUUGGAAUGAGUACAAUUUAAACCUCUUAACGAGGAACAAUUGGAGGGCAAGUCUGGUGCCAGCAGCCGCGGUAAUUCCAGCUCCAAUAGCGUAUAUUAAAGUUGUUGCAGUUAAAAAGCUCGUAGUUGAAUUUCGGGAUCAAAUUGUCGGUCGUGCUUCGGUACGCACUGGCAUUAUUGGUUCCUACCUUCUGAAGAACCGCGAUGUCGUUAAUUUGGUGUCGUGGGGAAUCAGGACUGUUACUUUGAAAAAAUUAGAGUGUUUAAAGCAGGCGCACGCUUGAAUACAUUAGCAUGGAAUAAUGAAAUAGGACGUUUGAUUCUAUUUUGUUGGUUUCUAGGAUCGACGUAAUGAUUAAUAGGGAUAGUUGGGGGCAUUAGUAUUCAAUUGUCAGAGGUGAAAUUCUUGGAUUUAUUGAAGACUAACUACUGCGAAAGCAUUUGCCAAGGAUGUUUUCAUUAAUCAAGAACGAAAGUUAGGGGAUCGAAGACGAUCAGAUACCGUCGUAGUCUUAACCAUAAACUAUGCCGACUAGGGAUCGGAUGAUGUUAAUUUUUUAAUGACUCAUUCGGCGCCUUACGGGAAAC
rnacentral:rRNA from 1 species